rnacentral:rRNA from 1 species
UACAGAGGUCUCAAGCGUUGUUCGGAUUCAUUGGGCGUAAAGGGUGCGUAGGCGGCGCGGUAAGUCGGGUGUGAAAUCUCGGGGCUUAACUCCGAAACUGCAUUCGAUACUGCCGUGCUUGAGGACUGGAGAGGAGACUGGAAUUUACGGUGUAGCGGUGAAAUGCGUAGAUAUCGUAAGGAAGACCAGUGGCGAAGGCGGGUUGCUGGGCCGACACUGACGCUGAUGCGCGAAAGCCAGGGGAGCGAACGGG